rnacentral:rRNA from 1 species
CCUAACGGCACCCCUGCCCUGCAGUCCAAGAGCGCUCACUCACUGAAGCUAAGCAGGGCUGAGGCUGGUCAGUAUCUGGAUGGAAAGCACAUGGGAACACUAGGCUGCUGUUGGCA